rnacentral:hammerhead_ribozyme from 1 species
AUUCACAGAUGACGAGUCCUAAAUAGGACGAAACACGCAUCCUGGAU